ACGCUGGCGGCAGGCCUAACACAUGCAAGUCGAACGGUAACAGGAAGCAGCUUGCUGCUUCGCUGACGAGUGGCGGACGGGUGAGUAAUGUCUGGGAAACUGCCUGAUGGAGGGGGAUAACUACUGGAAACGGUAGCUAAUACCGCAUAACGUCGCAAGACCAAAGAGGGGGACCUUCGGGCCUCUUGCCAUCGGAUGUGCCCAGAUGGGAUUAGCUAGUAGGUGGGGUAACGGCUCACCUAGGCGACGAUCCCUAGCUGGUCUGAGAGGAUGACCAGCCACACUGGAACUGAGACACGGUCCAGACUCCUACGGGAGGCAGCAGUGGGGAAUAUUGCACAAUGGGCGCAAGCCUGAUGCAGCCAUGCCGCGUGUAUGAAGAAGGCCUUCGGGUUGUAAAGUACUUUCAGCGGGGAGGAAGGGAGUAAAGUUAAUACCUUUGCUCAUUGACGUUACCCGCAGAAGAAGCACCGGCUAACUCCGUGCCAGCAGCCGCGGUAAUACGGAGGGUGCAAGCGUUAAUCGGAAUUACUGGGCGUAAAGCGCACGCAGGCGGUUUGUUAAGUCAGAUGUGAAAUCCCCGGGCUCAACCUGGGAACUGCAUCUGAUACUGGCAAGCUUGAGUCUCGUAGAGGGGGGUAGAAUUCCAGGUGUAGCGGUGAAAUGCGUAGAGAUCUGGAGGAAUACCGGUGGCGAAGGCGGCCCCCUGGACGAAGACUGACGCUCAGGUGCGAAAGCGUGGGGAGCAAACAGGAUUAGAUACCCUGGUAGUCCACGCCGUAAACGAUGUCGACUUGGAGGUUGUGCCCUUGAGGCGUGGCUUCCGGAGCUAACGCGUCAAGUCGACCGCCUGGGGAGUACGGCCGCAAGGUUAAAACUCAAAUGAAUUGACGGGGGCCCGCACAAGCGGUGGAGCAUGUGGUUUAAUUCGAUGCAACGCGAAGAACCUUACCUGGUCUUGACAUCCACAGAACUUUCCAGAGAUGGAUUGGUGCCUUCGGGAACUGUGAGACAGGUGCAGCAUGGCUGUCGUCAGCUCGUGUUGUGAAAUGUUGGGUUAAGUUCCGCAACGAGCGCAACCCUUAUCCUUAGUUGCCAGCGGUCCGGCCGGGAAUUCAAAGGAGACUGCCAGUGAUAAACUGGAGGAAGGUGGGGAUGACGUCAAGUCAUCAUGGCUUUUACGACCAGGGUUACACACGUGCUACAAUGGCGCAUACAAAGAGAAGCGACCUCGCGAGAGCAAGCGGACCUCAUAAAGUGCGUCGUAGUCCGGAUUGGAGUCUGCAACUCGACUCCAUGAAGUCGGAAUCGCUAGUAAUCGUGGAUCAGAAUGCCACGGUGAAUACGUUCCCGGGCCUUGUACACACCGCCCGUCACACCAUGGGAGUGGGUUGCAAAAGAAGUAGGUAGCUUAACUUUCGGGAGGGCGCUUACCACUUUGUGAUUCAUGACUGGGGUGAAGUCG
rnacentral:rRNA from 1 species